rnacentral:rRNA from 1 species
UACGAGAGGGGCAAGCGUUGUUCGGAAUUACUGGGCGUAAAGCGCGCGUAGGUGGCAAUGCAAGUCGGGUGUGAAUCCCGGCGUCAAACCUGGGAACUGCAUUCGAGACUGCGUUGCUUGAGUAUGGGAGAGGAAGUGGAAUUCCGGUGUAGCGGUGAAAUGCGUAGAUAUCUGAAAGGAACACCAGUGGCGAAAGCGGCUU